GUCCUCCAGAUGUUUUGGGACUACACCUCCCAUCACCCCUGACCACUGGUAAUGUUAGCUAGGGAUGGUGGGAGUUGUAGUCCCAAAACAUCUGGAGGGC
rnacentral:miRNA from 1 species